CAUACCACGUUGAAAUACCAGUGCUCGUACAAGCACCGAAGUUAAGCAAUUAAGAGACUGGUUACUACUUAGAUGGAUGACCUCUUGGGAAUGCAAGAUGCUGUAA